GGAUCGGCUCACUACUGCUGCUCCCAACUGCACGCAAGGCUUCAGUACUAGCAUUUUGUGGAGAUUAUAUGAUACAGUUAUAUUUUGGUAUAUGUGCAUUUGUUGAGAUCGUCAAAGCUGAAACUAUGAAGAGAAGCACACAUCACUAUAUGGCUGACCUCAUGUGUACAAGAUGACUUCAGCAAGUUAAAGUGAUCAGACUUCUUUUCAAAGACUACUAGAUUUCCCAGGAAGAAAUGAUAAUUUGAUUAUACUCAAAGGGAGGGGAACAAGCAACCCUCAGGCUGCUGAAGUACAGCUUUCUUUAGGUACCUUCCAUCAUGCUGAGUCAAGUACAUGCACCCCAGCCCUCUGGAGAUCCUGCACCAAAUCACUUUUGCCUAGACGACUCUCUGCUCUGCAGCAGGUGGGAUAACAAGCAUGGAGGACUUACAAAGAUGUGGGGUUGAGACCCACAGCUGCAGGUAGAGCUGUACCUAGAUGACAAGCAACAUCACUUCCUUCUUUCUGUUGUACUAAUGUAUGGAGCAGAUGCAGUGUUCUUGUUCUGAUCUGUGAUGAAGUAACAUCCCAGCCCUGAUUCACUGCCAUUUGUAGUAAGAUAAAAGGUGGGGCUGUUACACUGCAUACAGUACAACUGGAUCUCACAAUCAGAUUAACAGCAGCAGAUACAUGUGUUUGGCCAUAAACUUCUAUUACAGUCCUUCCUCUCUCUUUCCCCUAGACUGGCUGUGUAUUUUUUUGCCUCCUGAAGUCUGUGUUGAAUUAAAAAAAAAUGCAGAAUGGCCUGGAGGUGGCAGCAGCCAGUGAGUUGAACAAUGAGCUCUGUUUUGGUCACAAUCAAGUAACUGUUGGGGGCAGGGCAAUGCAGAGCAUGUAACAAAAAUGAGUUGCAUGUUUGCUGGAAAUUUUUGCUUGCAAAUAAUGUUAGGUAUUUUUGAGGAGCUUGCAAGAACACUGUUAAUCUUACAUAACUCUGGGGGGCUGCAUGAGGGCUAUCUCACUCUAUACUCUGCUGAAAAUCCUAGGAAAGUUUAAUGGACAGUAGUGUUUCUGUUGUUUACUGUCAGAAGGGCACUAUGUUGUUUUGAGUUGUUUGAAAGGACUUAUAACAGGAAUUGCUGUUUCUGUUUGUCUGGAAAAGUUGUCACAUUCUUUUAGCUAGCCAAAGAAUCAAUCCUAAAAAUGAACUUGAAUAAUUCAGGACUUCCCCCCCCCCCCCCUCCCCCCCCCCCCUCUGCUGGCUGCAUUUUGCUUGCCUAAAGGAAAUUUUCCCCUCUGUUUUAGACGUCAUGAAACAUACGUAUGCACUGAAUAGAUCUCAUUUACAGGACCAGCAAAACAAACUGUAUUUGAAGAAAUUUGAUUCACUGUGGAGUCAAAAGUUCUGUAGAGUCAGGAAAGAGCCACUGCUGGAGCUUCACCAUGGCAAAUGUGUCAUAACUUAUAGAAUGGCAGAGAUUUUGCUUUCAUUGUUGUAAACAUAACUGGCUGUGAAAAUGAAAAUAUUGGCUCAAUAUGAAAAUAAAGACAGUUUUUUCACUUUUC